rnacentral:rRNA from 1 species
CCCUUAGAUGUUCUGGGCCGCACGCGCGCUACACUGAUGCAUUCAACGAGUUCUACCUUGGCCGAGAGGCCUGCGCAAUCUUUUGAACCUGCAUCGUGAUAGGGAUAGAUUAUUGCAAUUAUUAAUCUUGAACGAGGAAUUCCUAGUAAACGCAGUUCAUCAAACUGCAUUGAUUACGUCCCUGCCCUUUGUACACACCGCCCGUCGCACCUACCGAUUGAAUGGUCCGGUGAAGCCUCCGGAUUGGCGCGCACCUCGGUGCCGCCGAGAAGUUGGCUAAACCUUACCAUUUAGAGGAAGGUGAAGUCGUAACA